CUAGCAUCCCUGGACUCCCUUCUUCUUCAUCUUAACGAGUGCAGAACUAAUGUUCUGGGAGAUGGCAUAGGCGUCAAAGACCUUGGGGAUCUGGAAGUUCUCUAUGUCCCACUACACCGACAUCUCCGCCUUACCCUUCAACGCUGCAGCUGUCGCCAUCUUCGCCAUGCUGCGUCCGCUCUCAUCUCCACUCGUUGGCGCUCUCCAAAUACUCUAGAUCUGAUUGUCACUGCUCACUUAUGAUCGAAGAUGAUGAUUAUUGAUUCUUGAAAAACCCUCAAAACACCAAAAUUCAAAAUCAAAAUCAAAAUCAAAAUCCUCUGGUUUUGAUUGGGUUCCUCUCUUCUUGUAAUUUUGUUGUUUUUCUUGAAUUUGAUAUCUUCUCUAGUAUAUCUAUAUCUCUUCUCUGGUUUUGAAGGGAUAGAUUAAUUUGAUGAGGAAGAAGGGAGUGCUGGAGUAUAUCUAUAUCUCUUCUUUGGUUUUGAUGAGGAUAGGUAAAUUUGAUGGAGGAAGAAGGUGUGCUGGAGAUGAAAAAAGUCCAGCUUUUUGUUUUUCAUUUUUUUUAUUCUUAUUAUUAUUGAGCAGUUUAAUUUAGAGUUUGAUUUAAAAUUUUCUGGUUAUUGUAAUUUUCUUUUAAUUUAUAUUUGUUUUUUCAGUUAGUUACAUUCUUACUUUAAGUUUUCAUAUACAUAAACAUCAACCCAAAAGAGAAAUUAAUAAAUAAUAAAAAA
rnacentral:lncRNA from 1 species